rnacentral:lncRNA from 1 species
ACAUUCCAGAUUAUGCCCCUCUAUCCUGGUUCCUUAACUAUAAACCAUCAGAUUCUUUCCUCGUUGUUCUUCCUCUUGACAUUUUUGCAGAACGAAUAGGUGUUUGGAAGAAUGAGUGCAGCCAUUGGAGAGCUGCCGCAGCACAAUAUUCUCGAGGUCGAGGUUUUCUAUUGAGACGCUGGUUAGUCCUCUACUUAUGAGUUCUUCUAGUAAUGUUGUCAAAGUGAUGAUAACUCAACAACUGAUCUUGGGCUAAUAAUCAGUAGGCGUAGUUGUAUCGGAAAAACCCUGUUGUGUUUUAGUGUUUUACCUCCAAAAUUCAAAACCCUUUACAGACUAACUCUCCCUCUGAGUUCCAAGAAAGGAGACUUGAGUAUAUAAUUGAGACGCUUGUUGGAUUAACCGUAGGGUGGUUCUGAAUCUGGAUUGAUCUUGCCAAUGCCAAAGUUGCAGAGACCGUACUAAUACCAUUUCUCUGUUUAUGGACAUGGAUGAUCGUUUGUUUUGGGUUCUCAAAAUUGGUCACAAAUCUUUCAGUCCUUUCUUUAUCAAUAAAUUAUCCAAGUAACUAUCUCCAUAUGAAACUCUCGUAAGGGUGAUCGAUCCUUUCUCCGAUGUGUUUGUAGGUGGGACAAAACACUGGCAGGACUGGGCUAGGUCACCGUCGAGAGUAUCCUGUUCAGAGCAAUGAAGCUCUAUGUAAGAUUCUUGAUAUUAAAUUUCAUGUCGAGUUUUUUCCCUAUGAGUUGACAUUUAAACUUGAAAUUCCAAUCAAAAUCUCGGAUCAUGCUAGUUUUCGCCACUGGGACAAAGGGGACACAGAUCCAGUAGUUCCUGGACUAAUUGCAAUGUGUUGAACCAUACUGGAUUUUAGAUUGUAUAUUGUCUUGUAAUUUUCAAAUUCUAUAGAAUCAUGGCCGGUAAUCCGGUAUAUUGAAUCAUUCUGAUUCCUCUGCUGCUGAUAGGCAAACCGACUAGGCAAUCGUUCUCGAACAUGUCACCUAUCACAAACUUAUAUAGGACCACUCUUCUAAGUUUUUAGGGUCGAUAGGGUGGAUGAUGCGGGAAAAGAAAAAACAAGGUGACAUUGAAUGUAACAUUGAUCAAAGUGGACUAAAGAUUUUCAACUAGGUAACCAGCUCUUUGUCGGCUUUACUCCCGGAAAGUGGGAAGGUUUGGUCGGCGAUGACAUUUAAAGAUGUCUGCGAGAGAUGGCGGUUGUUUAGGUCCCCCAUCUGUCAUCUUCGUUUGGUCCCAAACUUAGAACUCUGUUUCCGAGGCCACCUGCAACUGGUCCCAAACGCACACAUUAUGAUCAUGGAUUUGUACUUGUAAAGUACUCCUGACCAUCCGAGUACCAUGAUUAGUUUAGAGAACGGUUGAUUUUGUUUUGGUAGAGUCUCGAGGGAAAAUCAAAGUUUAAAAUUUAGGGUUUAGGGAGGAUUAACUAAGGUUUAAACUAGGAACUGAAUACAUCAAACAAACAGAUUAUGAAUCCAUGUGUUUUGAUAGUUCGAUUUAAGUUUCGACUUGUACAUGAUUCUUUCGAAUGUGGUUUUUUUUAUCGGUUAAGGUUAAUCAUUGGUCUUGCUUUUAAGGAUGCACGCUAUGCGAGGACGCCUUUAUUCAUUACCUUCUAGAGUAACACUACGAUCCACGAACAUGUUUUGGUUGACUUUGAUGUAUCAGAAACACUACUGUCUACGAACAUGUUUUGGUUUCAAUGUUUUGUCAGAUGAGUAAGAUUUGAAAGUACGUGUCUUUUCCCAUUUUUCAUUCAUGAAAAGACAUGGAUUUUCUCAUUCACUCUGUUUUUUCCUAUUGAAAUUUUUGCAGGGAAGCACCAAUAGGUGACAGAAGUCGCAAUAAUGGCAUCACUUGUCUCACCAUACUACUUUUUCGAAGGAGAAUCGAGUAAGCCAGACAGGACUAGAACAAUGUUGCCCUCCAUGUACAUGCUCGUUUAGCGAAGACUAUGGCACCAUAUGAAGAGGCGGGCAGAUGAAAUCAGGAGCCGCAACUGCACCACCAUCGGUAGCGAUGACACCCUUUACAUCACAAACUAGAGGAUC